AUGGCUGAAAAUGUUAAUGAGUAUAACCGGCUGCAAUGCAUGCUGGGAAAGAUCAGGCCACGCCAGAUGAAGCAGCUCUAUAAAGCUGUUUAUGAGUGUAACGCACACCUCCCUUCUGGAAAAUUCUGCUUCUCCCUCCUUCCUCUUCCUCUUCCUCUUCCUCGGACCAAAGGCCAAAGGCGCUGAAGAAGAGCCAGUGACUGUGCUGCUGAUUCUCUCGAGGUGGGUCGCGUGUGACCGCGCGGCUGUAAGCCACUGCUCCGCGCUCGUUUGCUCUGGCCUUGUCUCAUCCAGACCCACCUAAUCAACCUGCCGCCACUCCCCAGACUCCAGGCCCACAGGCUCACGCAGAGCAAACAGGCCCUUUAAUAUUUGAUUGGUGGAUAAACAGAGCGAGCUGUCCGUCAGAGUGGUGCCCCUCCCCUCGGGGCGGGGCUGGUGGUUUUUGGGGUUGCAGGCGCUACGGAACGCCGGGGUUCGGGGUUUCUCAUUAAGCGCGGAGUCCAGCAGAAUCUGGGGUGCAAGCCCCAGACAUUAACAGUUUCAGACAGAAUACUUUCUGGACAGUAAAAAUGUUACACUGUCA